rnacentral:rRNA from 1 species
AUUGAACGCCGGCGGCAGGCCUAACACAUGCAAGUCGAAUGGUAACAGGAAACAGCUUGCUGUUUCGCUGACGAGUGGCGGACGGGUGAGUAAUGUCUGGGAAACUGCCUGAUGGAGGGGGAUAACUACUGGAAACGGUAGCUAAUACCGCAUAACGUCGCAAGACCAAAGAGGGGGACCUUCGGGCCUCUUGCCAUCAGAUGUGCCCAGAUGGGAUUAGCUAGUAGGUGGGGUAACGGCUCACCUAGGCGACGAUCCCUAGCUGGUCUGAGAGGAUGACCAGCCACACUGGAACUGAGACACGGUCCAGACUCCUACGGGAGGCAGCAGUGGGGAAUAUUGCACAAUGGGCGUAAGCCUGAUGCAGCCAUGCCGCGUGUAUGAAGAAGGCCUUCGGGUUGUAAAGUACUUUCAGCGGGGAGGAAGGGAGUAAAGUUAAUACCUUUGCUCAUUGACGUUACCCGCAGAAGAAGCACCGGCUAACUCCGUG